rnacentral:misc_RNA from 1 species
CCAAUGACGAUCGGAGUACCUUUAGACCACCCCUAAGGGGAUAAUGAUUGGGGUGAAUCUAAGGUACCGUAUCGGAGGGCGGUGGAUCACCUCCUUUCUAAGAUAAGAAACCUGCCAUUUGCGUCUUGUUUAUUUUGAAGGUCUUGUGGGGCCUUACUCACUGGGAAGCGCCUGCUUUGCCGCAGAGUCAGCGGUCAUCCCGCUGGCUCCUUGAAUCAAGAUUCAAUUGUUCUUGAAAAUUGAAUAUCUUUAAUUCCCGACUAAUAAUUGAAAGAACAGAAAUACCAAACCUUGAAAUUUAGAUUUUCAGUUUAAAACUAGUAAAAGGUAAUUAAAGCGCCGGGGAGCCUUGCCUAAACCAAAAGAGUGACUACACAAUGCUUUGGGACUGUAUAACCUAUCGAAUUCCAUGGGGAACCCUAUUAGACAUACCAUUCUGUAAGAAUAAAGAAACCAUGAAUACUCAAGUCCAAA